rnacentral:rRNA from 1 species
UUCUAGCCCACNNNNNNNNNNNNNNNNNNNNNNNNNNNNNNNNNNNAAACAAAACAUUCACCCCUAUAAAAGUAUAGGAGAUAGAAAUUUUUAAUUGGAGCUAUAGCGUUAGUACCGUAAGGGAAAGAUGAAAGAAUUAACUAACAGUAAAAUAUAGCAAAGCCUAAAUCUUCUACCUUUUGCAUAAUGAAUUAACCAGAAACAACUUCACAAAAAGAAUUUAAGUCAAGAACCCCGAAACCAGACGAGCUACUUAUGAGCAGCUAUCAGAGCCAAUCCAUCUAUGUAGCAAAAUAGUGGAAUGACUUGUAAGUAGAGGUGAAAAGCCUACCGAGCCUGGUGAUAGCUGGUUAUCCAGAUAAGAAUUUUAGUUCAACUUUAAAUUUACUAUAAGCACUCCCAAUCAAAACGUAAAUUUAACUGUUACUCUAAAGGGGGACAGCCCUUUAGAUAUAGGAAAAACCUUAAAUAGAGAGUAAGCCUAACAACUACCAUAGUUGGCCUAAGAGCAGCCAUCAAUUAAAAAAGCGUUCAAGCUUAACCAAACACAUUAACUUAAUUCCUAGCACUAGUAACCACCUCCUAACCCUACACUGGAUUAAUCUAUUAUUAAUUAUAGAAGCAAUAAUGUUAAUAUGAGUAACAAGAAAAACCUUCUCCCCGCAUAAGUUUAUAUCAGUCCGAAUAAAUCACUGAUAGUUAACAAGCCCAUAGUUCAAUUCAACAACCCAAACUACUAUUAUCCAUAAUGUUAACCCAACACCGGUAUGCACUUUAUCAAGGGAAAGAUUAAAAGAAGUAAAAGGAACUCGGCAAACACUAACCCCGCCUGUUUACCAAAAACAUCACCUCUAGCAUCAAUAGUAUUAGAGGCACUGCCUGCCCAGUGACAUAUGUUAAACGGCCGCGGUAUCCUGACCGUGCAAAGGUAGCAUAAUCAUUUGUUCCUUAAAUAGGGACUUGCAUGAAUGGCCAAACGAGGGUUUAUCUGUCUCUUACUUCCAAUCAGUGAAAUUGACCUUCCCGUGAAGAGGCGGGAAUAAGCAAAUAAGACGAGAAGACCCUAUGGAGCUUAAAUUUAUUAAUCCAAGUAAUCUCUUUAUAAAUUCUAUAAGAAAUAACCUACUACUCGUGGAUUAAAAAUUUUGGUUGGGGUGACCUCGGAGUAUAGCCUAACCUCCGAAUGAUCCUAGUCUAGACCACAACCCGUCUAAACUCCAAUUCAUAAAUUGACCCAAACAUUUGAUCAACGGAACAAGUUACCCUAGGGAUAACAGCGCAAUCCUACCCAAGAGUCCCUAUCGACAGUAGGGUUUACGACCUCGAUGUUGGAUCAGGACAUCCAAAUGGUGCAGCCGCUAUUAAUGGUUCGUUUGUUCAACGAUUAAAGUCCUACGUGAUCUGAGUUCAGACCGGAGAAAUCCAGGUCGGUUUCUAUCUAUUAAAAAUUUCUCCUAGUACGAAAGGACAAGAGAAAUAAGGCCACUUUCCACAACAUGCCUUAUGACAAUAGAUGAAAUAAUCUAAAUCUAAUCAAUCUAUUUAUUUACUCUAUCCUAGACCAGGAUUA